rnacentral:rRNA from 1 species
AUUGAACGCUGGCGGCAUGCCUAACACAUGCAAGUCGAACGGCAGCAUGACCUAGCUUGCUAGGUUGAUGGCGAGUGGCGCACGGGUGAGUAAUGCGUAGGGAUAUACCUUAAAGUGGGGGAUAACCUGGGGAAACCCAGGCUAAUACCGCAUGAGCUCUGAGGAGGAAAGCUGGGGACUGUAAGAGGCCUGGCGCUUUAAGAUUAGCCUACGUCCGAUUAGCUAGUUGGUAGGGUAAAGGCCUACCAAGGCGACGAUCGGUAGCUGGUCUGAGAGGAUGAUCAGCCACACUGGGACUGAGACACGGCCCAGACUCCUACGGGAGGCAGCAGUGGGGAAUAUUGGACAAUGGGGGCAACCCUGAUCCAGCCAUGCCGCGUGUGUGAAGAAGGCCUUAUGGUUGUAAAGCACUUUAAGCGAGGAGGAGGCUACUUUAGUUAAUACCUGGAGAUAGUGGACGUUACUCGCAGAAUAAGCACCGGCUAACUCUGUGCCAGCAGCCGCCGUAA